rnacentral:rRNA from 1 species
UGGGGAAUUUUCCGCAAUGGGCGAAAGCCUGACGGAGCAAUGCCGCGUGGAGGUGGAAGGUCUACGGGUCGCCAACUUCUUUUCUCGGAGAAGAAACAAUGACGGUAUCUGAGGAAUAAGCAUCGGCUAACUCUGUGCCAG